rnacentral:rRNA from 1 species
UACCAGCUCCGCGAGUGGUCGGGGUGUUUACUGGGCUUAAAGCGCCCGUAGCCGGCCCGGCAAGUCGCUCCUGAAAUCCCCAGGGCUCAACCCUGGGGCGGGGGCGAUACUGCCGGGCUAGGGGCGGAAGAGGCCGCCGGUACUCCGGGGUAGGGGCGAAAUCCGUUAAUCCCCGGAGGACCACCAGUGGCGAAAGCGGGCGGCCAGAACGCGCCCGACGGUGAGGGGCGAAAGCCGGGGGAGCAAGCCGGAUUAGAAACCCUAGUAGU